rnacentral:rRNA from 1 species
ACCCGCUGAACUUAAGCAUAUCAAUAAGCGGAGGAAAAGAAACCAACAGGGAUUGCCCUAGUAACGGCGAGUGAAGCGGCAACAGCUCAAAUUUGAAAUCUGGCUCUUUUAGAGUCCGAGUUGUAAUUUGCAGAGGGCGCUUUGGCUUUGGCAGCGGUCCAAGUUCCUUGGAACAGGACGUCACAGAGGGUGAGAAUCCCGUACGUGGUCGCUGGCUAUUGCCGUGUAAAGCCCCUUCGACGAGUCGAGUUGUUUGGGAAUGCAGCUCUAAAUGGGAGGUACAUUUCUUCUGAAGCUAAAUAUUGGCCAGAGACCGAUAGCGCACAAGUAGAGUGAUCGAAAGAUGAAAAGCACUUUGGAAAGAGAGUCAAACAGCACGUGAAAUUGUUGAAAGGGAAGCGCUUGCAGCCAGACUUGCUUACAGUUGCUCAUCCGGGCUUUUGCCCGGUGCACUCUUCUGUAGGCAGGCCAGCAUCAGUUUGGGCGGUAGGAUAAAGGUCUCUGUCACGUACCUCUCUUCGGGGAGGCCUUAUAGGGGAGACGACAUACUACCAGCCUGGACUGAGGUCCGCGCAUCUGCUAGGAUGCUGGCGUAAUGGCUGU